rnacentral:rRNA from 1 species
UGCGUAGGCGGCGCGGUAAGUCGGGUGUGAAAUCUCGGAGCUUAACUCCGAAACUGCAUUCGAUACUGCCGUGCUUGAGGACUGGAGAGGAGACUGGAAUUUACGGUGUAGCGGUGAAAUGCGUAGAUAUCGUAAGGAAGACCAGUGGCGAAGGCGGGUCUCUGGACAGUUUCUGACGCUGAGGCACGAAGGCCAGGGAGGCAAACG